AUUGAACGCUGGCGGCAUGCUUUACACAUGCAAGUCGAACGGCAGCAGGGGCUUCGGCCCGCUGGCGAGUGGCGAACGGGUGAGUAAUGCGUCGGAACGUGCCGAGUAGUGGGGGAUAACGCAGCGAAAGUUGUGCUAAUACCGCAUACGUACUGAGGUGGAAAGUGGGGGACCUUCGGGCCUCACGCUAUUCGAGCGGCCGACGUCUGAUUAGCUAGUAGGUGAGGUAAAGGCUCACCUAGGCGACGAUCAGUAGCGGGUCUGAGAGGAUGAUCCGCCACACUGGGACUGAGACACGGCCCAGACUCCUACGGGAGGCAGCAGUGGGGAAUUUUGGACAAUGGGCGAAAGCCUGAUCCAGCCAUGCCGCGUGUCUGAAGAAGGCCUUCGGGUUGUAAAGGACUUUUGUCAGGGAGGAAAUCCCUAGCGUUAAUACCGCUGGGGGAUGACAGUACCUGAAGAAUAAGCACCGGCUAACUACGUGCCAGCCGCCGCAGUAACAC
rnacentral:rRNA from 1 species